CCACUCAUCUUAUACCCGCCGAAUGGUAUUGCGGCGUCGAAGAUGUCGAAGCAAUUCACCCACACGGUCCCCGUUCUCAAUCCUCGUAUUAAUGUGUUGGCUGUGUCGAUGUUCGAUGUGAAAAUUCCUGAUGCUAGACCGUAACGAGUUGAGUUUGCUCUAUGAAUUACUUCAUCAAUGUCCCUGAUGUUGACAAAAUUCAAAUAGAACAUGUUAGAUAGUGUGCGAUCAAAGAGUGAUAUGAUAAGUUUGAGAUGUAAAUAACUUGCUUGAAUUUCAGGAUGGAUUGUACUGGACCAAAGAUUUCAUCCUUUGCUAUCAACAUAUCGUCCUGAUCAAAUUGAUGAGAGAAGUGAAUCGAGAUGUUAAUUUACGUUCUUUAGAGUGUAUAAGGAAG
rnacentral:lncRNA from 1 species